rnacentral:rRNA from 1 species
AGGGUGUAAACGCUGCAGACUUGGUGUUGGGAACCCUUCGGGGUGCUCAGUGCCGGAGAGAAGUUGUUAAGUCUGCUACUUGGGGAGUACGUCCGCAAGGAUGAAACUUAAAGGAAUUGGCGGGGGAGCACCGCAACGGGAGGAGCGUGCGGUUUAAUUGGAUUCAACGCCGAAAAACUCACCAGGGAAGACUGUUACAUGAAGGCCGAGAUGAAGACUCUGCUAGAUUUUCAGAGAGGAGGUGCAUGGCGUCAGUGACU